rnacentral:rRNA from 1 species
UACAGAGGGGGCGAGCGUUGUUCGGAAUUACUGGGCGUAAAGGGCGCGUAGGCGGCCCGCUAAGUCGAACGUGAAAUCCCCAGGCUCAACCUGGGAACUGCGUCCGAUACUGGCAGGCUUGAAUCCGGGAGAGGGAUGUGGAAUUCCAGGUGUAGCGGUGAAAUGCGUAGAUAUCGAGAGGAACACCAGUGGCGAAGGCGGCUCACUGGGCACCACCUGACGCUGAGGCGCGAAAGCGUGGGGAGCGAACCGG